rnacentral:rRNA from 1 species
GCAUAUCAGUAAGCGGAGGAAAAGAAACUAACAAGGAUUCCCUCAGUAGCGGCGAGCGAACAGGGAAGAGCUCAGCACCGAACCUCGCGCCCGGCAAAGCGGACGCCGAGGAAUGUGGUGUUUGGGAGGACCGUGCGCGUCUGUCCGGUACACAUCGUCCAAGUCUCCAUGAACGGGGCGAGCAACCCACAGAGGGUGUCAGGCCCGUAGACCAGACGAGCCGAGACCGUGCAUCGGGUCCCUUCCUAAGAGUCGGGUUGCUUGAGCGUGCAGCCCUAAGCGGGAGGUAAACUCCUUCUAAAGCUAAAUAUCGCCACGAGACCGAUAGCGAACAAGUACCGCGAGGGAAAGUUGAAAAGAACUUUGAAGAGAG